UGGCGGACGGGUGAGUAACGCGUGGGUAACCUGCCUUACACAGGGGGAUAACACCUGGAAACAGGUGCUAAUACCGCAUAAGCGCACAGGGCCGCAUGGCCCGGUGUGAAAAACUCCGGUGGUGUAAGAUGGACCCGCGUCUGAUUAGCUAGUUGGUGGGGUAAAGGCUCACCAAGGCGACGAUCAGUAGCCGGCCUGAGAGGGCGACCGGCCACAUUGGGACUGAGACACGGCCCAGACUCCUACGGAAGGCAGCAG
rnacentral:rRNA from 1 species